AACGAACGCUGGCGGCAUGCCUAACACAUGCAAGUCGAACGAGACCUUCGGGUCUAGUGGCGCACGGGUGCGUAACGCGUGGGAACCUGCCCUUAGGUUCGGAAUAACUCCCCGAAAGGGGUGCUAAUACCGGAUAAUGUCUUCGGACCAAAGAUUUAUCGCCUUUGGGUGGGCCCGCGUUGGAUUAGCUAGUUGGUAGGGUAAAAGCCUAACCAGGCGACGAUCCAUAGCUGGUCGGAGAGGAGGAUCAGCCAAACUGGGACGGGGAACCGGCCCAAACCCCACGGGAGGGCAGAAGGGGGGAAAUAGGAACAAGGGGCGAAAGCCGAAGCCAGUACGCCCGUGAAAGUGAGUAAUGCCUGAGGAAUAAAAGGCUAUUUUACCCGGGAUGUAAAGAAGGUAACCGGUAAAAAAGCCACGGCUAACCCCGUG
rnacentral:rRNA from 1 species